CUACCUCUAAGGUCUAAGCUGGUAUUAGCUUUUGGUAAUAAUAGCUUAUCGAAGACAACUAAUUUUUGGAUCCUCACUUCAAAUCCCGUUGCCCCCAAAACUUGGAAACCCUACACGACUACCUUCUCAGAGAGAGCCGCGCAUCCUGCUCUAGCCGCCCUUGUCUGCUGUCUUCUUCCUUCCAUCUCAAAGAUCCCUGCUAACGAUGUCGUACGACGACGUGGAGAUUGAGGACAUGGAGUGGAACGAGGAAUUGCAGGCGUACACGUACCCGUGUCCUUGCGGGGACCUGUUCCAGAUUACAAAGGAGGACCUCAAGCUCGGCGAGGAAAUCGCUCGCUGCCCUAGUUGCUCUCUUUACAUCACCGUCAUCUACAACAUGGAAGACUUCCUCGGCGAUUCUGAUCAAAAUCAUAGAAACAAGGGUCUUCAGCCCUCCAAGCAACAAACUGUCACUAUUGCUUGAAUUUCAGAUUUACUUUGCAACACUUUUUGGAUUUGAUUCCUCUUGGACGGAAUUGUUAGUAAAGGAACUAGCUGCAGCAAUUUGAACACGAGGGACCUGGUGGCAAUGUUGGUAUACUGCAGCAAGUGGGCUGCUGCUUAGGAUGCAUUUUGCUGUGUGUUUGAUUUCAAAUAGGAGCUUGAAGUGUUUCAGAACUGAUUAACUCUGGAAGCAGCUCUAAUUCCACCAUGCUUUUCAGAAAUGGAUGGUAAAGUAAAUCCCACUUGAAGAACCAACAAGGAAAGAGUGGAAUUUCCAUGAGGACAACCAACUGAGACAAUAAGAAAGUCAAUGCUUAAUGUACUUAGAUGUGUGAAACAGUGCUGCACUGUGAAACAGUACUUAGCAAGACUUGUGUAUCUGGCAAGAACUUUUGUACUUAGCUAGAGACUUAGCUCAUGAACAAAUUGUAUCAAUUUUUGUUGUCAUUUGACUGAACAAGUGUACCAAGUUAAUAAUGCUAUAAAAUAGCCAAAACUACAUUCUUUUC